UAAUACGUAGGGUGCGAGCGUUAAUCGGAAUUACUGGGCGUAAAGCGUGCGCAGGCGGUUUUGUAAGCCAGAUGUGAAAUCCCCGGGCUUAACCUGGGAACUGCAUUUGGGACUGCAAGGCUAGAGUACGGCAGAGGGGGGUAGAAUUCCUGGUGUAGCAGUGAAAUGCGUAGAUAUCAGGAGGAAUACCGAUGGCGAAGGCAGCCCCCUGGGUCGAUACUGACGCUCAUGCACGAAAGCGUGGGGAGCAAACAGGAUUAGAUACCCUGGUAGUCCACGCCCUAAACGAUGUCAACUAGUUGUUGGGAGCCUUACCGCUCUUAGUAACGCAGCUAACGCGUGAAGUUGACCGCCUGGGGAGUACGGUCGCAAGAUUAAAACUCAAAGGAAUUGACGG
rnacentral:rRNA from 1 species